UCAUCAAACGGGCCAUAUUCUCUCCUUGUAUAAUUAUAAAACCGUCUGAAGCUAGGCUUAAACCUAAACGACCGCAUGUAUCUUCCUCGUAUUGUCUCUGAACUUCGCCAGCUGAGCCGCUGCCGGUAAACGUCACCGCCUCCAAACCUCCCCAAAUUAGCACCACGAAAUCCCCAGGUCAUCCUCUUCCCAUUCCCGCGUUUAGCUUCCCUCAAACCUCACCUGAAUUCCUCGAAUCUUCAUCAAGAGAUUUUCUGGCCAUGAUGCCGGGUAACUCAAUCACCCCCAAAAUAAUACCAUAGGACCGCCUUGGUCUCCUCUACAAAACCCCUAGAACCAUUGGUCUCGAAUAUAGCCUGAGCGGCUUGAAUUUAAGAUUGAAGAUUUUCCGGCGAAUUUGGAUUUCAUUGAAUUUGCACAAAUUGGUGCCAUGAGGUUUUCCUCAUCUUCUUCUCAAGGAUUUGGUUUUAUAGAAGAUCAAUUGAAGGUCGAGGUUAGACAGUCGAGUGGCCAUUGAAGUCAUGUGUCAUUUCCCUUUCUUUGUUUUCUGUUAUAUGAGUGUUCUGUUGUUUAAGAUCUUGCAUGAGUCCCUUUUAAUGGUUGCUUGUUUCGGCAUUAAUUGGAGUUUUCUCUAGAUUAAUAUGAUUUUUAUUGAUUGAUGUUUUCUUUUGAUAGUUAGUUCAAUUAGUCUAGUAAUUAAGUGAUUAUUUUGAUCGAAAUCAAUUCAAGUCCUGGUGUAGUUCUUAGAGGAUAAACAGUGGUAAGACUGUUGAUAAUAUUGGUAAGUUGUUAGGUUAUCCAAUUCUAAUUAAUUUGGGUCAUUGAAAGGUUUGGGUUAGCAGAGAUGGUAAAAUUCAGGUUGAGGUAGGGCAUUCUAGGCAUUCUUGAAUUAGGUAUCAAUACUAGAAUUCCUUGGAACCUUCUAGAAAAGGGUGUACUUAGAAUUUGAAGUAAGUUUGAAGUAAUUCCUUGCACAACAAGUUAAAAAUAAAGGGGCUAAAACACUAAAAAGGGAGGGACCUAAGAGGCAAUCGUGAAAAUAUCAUUCAACUAAAAAUAGGCAUUGCAUUGCCUUGGGGAGGGGGUUCCACUUGCAGCCAGAUUCAGCUCCCAAAAAUUCUGGCCAUAAUAAAGUUCAGAUCUAAAGUAGCCUUCCGGUUCAUUUUUUUAAAAGAAAAAACCAAAACUACAAAGCCAAAUUAGAAAAAAACAACAAAAAAAGAAAAACAAAAAAUGUUACUAUUCCAUUAGGCAUUGAGUGAUUUCCAAUUCUCUGCUUUCAAUUUACCACCUCCUGGUUCAGAUUUUGGUUGUCGUGACUUAGUUGUUUCCUGGAUCCACUUUUGUUGGGUUUUGAGUUCAUUUGAUUCAGUUUGGCCCUUCAGUUGAUGCAGUGGUUGAGUAGUGUGCUGUUUAGUUUUUGGUGAAGUUGUUUUGUGUUAAAUCACACUUGUUUGGUUGUUGUUGUUUGAGAUUGGUUUCUGGUGUUUAAUUCUACUUGUGCUGCUAAAUAUUGUUCUUGGAUACUGCUGUGUUUCACCUGCUUCUGCUAACUCCUUCUCCUUUCGCUGUAAUUCGAAUACCAGGUACAUAUCCUGAAGUUUGACACCAUGUAUCUUCAUUUCACUGGAAAUAUGAAUCAAGAUUGAAGUGAACUACCUGCUAUGGAGUUGUAGUUUAAGUGUGAUAUGAUUUUAGCGUUAAUAUUUAAUAUAUGUAGUUCAUCUGUUUCAUUAUGACUAUGUCUUUGGACUAAAACUGGUGAUACAUGUGUGGUAGUUGAGUCAUAUAUCUGAACUGAUGCUCAUUGGGUAGAUUACCCGUUUAGAUAGGUUUGGUACAUACGUUUGAUAAUUGAACCCUAUAGAUUUGAGUUAUUGAUACUGUUAAAUAUGGGUGUGCAAAUUCGAAUGUCUCAUGCUAUUUGUAUUCAAAAUUGAGCUCAAAAUAUUUAGUUUGGUAUGGUCAGGUACCAGUUUAGGUCUGGUUCUACGUGCUUUUAGCUUAAUAUGUGAUUUUUUUAAUAAAAAAAGGGUGAUCCAAGUUUCUGUGCUAAUUUGAAAUCAUAUUUCUGCCUAAAAUUGAGAUUAGGACUGUUGAGUCCUUGGAAAAAAUAUUAAUUGCCUAACCAAUCAAGGUGGUGGGGUAUUUGGAGUUGC
rnacentral:lncRNA from 1 species